UAGACUUGAGACUCCAGAGUUUGGGAUCCUGGUCCAGAUCAUGCCACUGCUUACCAAGGUCCUGCCUACCAUAAUCCAGGAGGUGGUCUUCCAGACAUUAAAUAGGAUCAUGAAAUCAAUGGCGUGAGCCUUCACAACAGACUGAUAUGAUAUGGAAAUGCCAGCUCAGAAGAUGUGGUGAGCUUUGAUAAUUCAGGAAUUGACUGACAGAAGGAGGACCUCAUUUGGGCAG